UUGGUGGGGUAAAGGCCCACCAAGGCGACGAUCCGUAGCGGGUCUGAGAGGAUGAUCCGCCACACUGGGACUGAGACACGGCCCAAACUCCUACGGGAGGCAGCAGUGGGGAAUUUUGGACAAUGGGGGCGACCCUGAUCCAGCCAUGCCGCGUGAGUGAAGAAGGCCUUCGGGUUGUAAAGCUCUUUCGGCCGGGAAGAAAUCGUGGUCUCUAACAUAGGCCAUGGAUGACGGUACCGGACUAAGAAGCACCGGCUAACUACGUGCCAGCAGCCGCGGUAAUACGUAGGGUGCGAGCGUUAAUCGGAAUUACUGGGCGUAAAGCGUGCGCAGGCGGUUUUGUAAGACAGAUGUGAAAUCCCCGGGCUCAACCUGGGAACUGCGUUUGUGACUGCAAGGCUAGAGUACGGCAGAGGGGGGUGGAAUUCCACGUGUAGCAGUGAAAUGCGUAGAGAUGUGGAGGAACACCGAUGGCGAAGGCAGCCCCCUGGGCCUGUACUGACGCUCAUGCACGAAAGCGUGGGGAGCAAACAGGAUUAGAUACCCUGGUAGUCCACGCCCUAAACGAUGUCGACUAGUCGUUCGGAGCAGCAAUGCACUGAGUGACGCAGCUAACGCGUGAAGUCGACCGCCUGGGGAGUACGGCCGCAAGGUUAAAACUCAAAGGAAUUGACGGGGACCCGCACAAGCGGUGGAUGAUGUGGAUUAAUUCGAUGCACGUGAAAACCUUACCUACCCUUGACAUGUCUGGAACCUUGCUGAGAGGCGAGGGUGCCUUCGGAGCCAGAACACAGGUGCUGCAUGGCUGUCG
rnacentral:rRNA from 1 species